rnacentral:rRNA from 1 species
CGAAUUCAGACAAACUCCGAAUGCCAAUUAAUUUAACUUGGGAGUCAGAACAUGGGUGAUAAGGUCCGUGUUCGAAAGGGAAACAGCCCAGACCACCAGCUAAGGUCCCAAAAUAUAUGUUAAGUGGAAAAGGAUGUGGCGUUGCCCAGACAACUAGGAUGUUGGCUUAGAAGCAGCCAUCAUUUAAAGAGUGCGUAAUAGCUCACUAGUCGAGUGACACUGCGCCGAAAAUGUACCGGGGCUAAACAUAUUACCGAAGCUGUGGAUUGUCCUUUGGACAAUGGUAGGAGAGCGUUCUAAGGGCGUUGAAGCAUGAUCGUAAGGACAUGUGGAGCGCUUAGAAGUGAGAAUGCCGGUGUGAGUAGCGAAAGACGGGUGAGAAUCCCGUCCACCGAUUGACUAAGGUUUCCAGAGGAAGGCUCGUCCGCUCUGGGUUAGUCGGGUCCUAAGCUGAGGCCGACAGGCGUAGGCGAUGGAUAACAGGUUGAUAUUCCUGUACCACCUAUA